UUGGGGGGCUGGCAAUCGCCCAUAUCCCGCCUUGAGCGGUGAAUGGGAGGAAAGUCUGGACAUCGUAGGAAAAGAUACCAGUGAAAGACUGGGGGCCGCAAGGCUACGGAAAGUGCAACAGAAAACAUACCGCUGGCAGCUUGCUGCUAGACAGGGUGAAAUGGCUUGUUUUGUGAAUAAGCCCUCACUUAGGGCGACCUAAGGAGUUGUAAACCCUAUCUGAUGCAAGGCAAAUUGAAGCGUUGAGGUUUCCGCCUAGCUUCAGACGAGCCGCUUGAGGACUAUGGCAACAUAGUCCCUAGAAGAAUGAUUGCCCUUGACAGAAUCCGGCUUACGCCCCCCAAUUUU
rnacentral:RNase_P_RNA from 1 species